UGGGGAAUAUUGCGCAAUGGGGGGAACCCUGACGCAGCCAUGCCGCGUGAAUGAAGAAGGCCUUCGGGUUGUAAAGUUCUUUCGGUAUUGAGGAAGGUUGAUGUGUUAAUAGCACAUCAAAUUGACGUUAAAUACAGAAGAAGCACCGGCUAACUCCGUGCCAGCAGCCGCGGUAAUACGGAGGGUGCGAGCGUUAAUCGGAAUAACUGGGCGUAAAGGGCACGCAGGCGGUUAUUUAAGUGAGGUGUGAAAGCCCUGGGCUUAACCUAGGAAUUGCAUUUCAGACUGGGUAACUAGAGUACUUUAGGGAGGGGUAGAAUUCCACGUGUAGCGGUGAAAUGCGUAGAGAUGUGGAGGAAUACCGAAGGCGAAGGCAGCCCCUUGGGAAUGUACUGACGCUCAUGUGCGAAAGCGUGGGGAGCAAACAGGAUUAGAUACCCUGGUAGUCCACGCUGUAAACGCUGUCGAUUUGGGGGGUUGGGGUUUAACUCUGGCGCCCGUAGCUAACGUGAUAAAUCGACCGCCUGGGAGUACGGCCGCAAGGUUAA
rnacentral:rRNA from 1 species